GACGUAGGGGGCCAGCGUUGUUCGGAUUCAUUGGGCGUAAAGGGUGCGUAGGCGGCGCGGUAAGUCGGGUGUGAAAUCUCGGAGCUUAACUCCGAAACUGCAUUCGAUACUGCCGUGCUUGAGGACUGGAGAGGAGACUGGAAUUUACGGUGUAGCGGUGAAAUGCGUAGAUAUCGUAAGGAAGACCAGUGGCGAAGGCGGGUCUCUGGACAGUUCCUGACGCUGAGGCACGAAGGCCAGGGGAGCAAACGGG
rnacentral:rRNA from 1 species